CUGUAAAGAUGUUGGGGUUUUUUGGACUCUUCUUUGUUGUCCCCAAAUAAUUGUAGCUCAGAAACAAUAUUGAAGUUCAUUGGUAAAAUUGGUAAAAUUUUGAAAUGUUGAUGUUUUUUGUGUUGAUUGUGCUCAUUUUGACCUAUGUUACUAUUGCUUUCUACCAUGUUCAAUUCACCAUUGUUCUGCACAUAUGUGCUUGCAUACAAGUGUCCAGUGGUUAUAUUCAUGAGGCAUUCAAGGGACUUGUACUAAAAGAUACAACUCAGUUCAGUAUGAAUUGCAUAUUUUAAUGGCUGAAAAUAUAUCUGAUCUCUUUCAGAACAUCACCUGUCUGUAAUCCACCUGCGUAAGUACUGGUCAAGGGGCUCAUCGGCUAUCAAGUUAUAGAUUUCAGUGGCUAAUAGAAGACACUGCUGAGGUCAGACGAGAGUGCAUCCUCAAAGGUCUGUGUGUACCUAAAUGAAGAUCCAGAGAAGCUGGUGAGGGAGUACAUGGACGUUGAUGAAUGAAAUGGCCAAAGCCGAGACUGUCCUCGGAAUCGUCAUUUGAGCAGAGGGUGCAGAGGCUGCCGAUGCACAUCUGGAUGUUGGGAUUGUCCUGGAGGAGGUGGAAGUUAUGAACAGCUUGGGCAGUGUAUCUUCUGCAAUAGUGAUGCUACUGGGACUAAUCUACGCACUAAACUUGAGCUACCCUCAAGUUUAGUGCGUUCAGCACUCAACUUGCUCAGUAACUCAAGCAUACCUUUGAAGUAAUACAGAAAAUAAUAAUGAAAUUGGAUGGAAAGAACUUAUCAAAGAAAGCACAAGUUCUCAAUAUGAAACUCGCCGCUAAGUUGAGUAAAGUUUCAUAUGGAAAAUGAGUGUUUAAAGUCUGCAGUAGAAAAGAUUUAUAUUGUUACAGUUCUCUAAGUUGAGCAACUAUACUGACAUGUUUUAUGUUGUAAAGAAUUGGCUGGGAAAUGAAACUGUAACCUUUUUGUAGUUGUUUUUUUAUUUCAAUGUCCAACUCAGCUGUGUUUUGUGCUGUGUAAAAAAACGAUGUAUAAUAAUUCUGAAAAUACAAUUGUGUUGUACCUUU